rnacentral:lncRNA from 1 species
AUAUGAAAAUGCUAGCCUGUGAUAUCCCGACAACUGUUCAACUAAUGUGGAUUCCUUUCUCAGAAUUGGAUCUCCGCCAGCAGUUUCUCGUGACAUUAAGGGUGUCCCGUUGGUUUUUGAGUGGCUUGUGGAAUUCCGGAGUUGUCACCUAUGGGAGAAAUUGGAUCUUUAAGAAAAUUAAGGACACAACUGAUGACAUAAUGACAGUGAUAGUGUUUCCUAUUGUGGAGUUUUUAAUCCCUUACCCGGUAUCAUUGAGCUCAGAACAUGCCAUUUGCUAAUUCAGGUGAUUGGUUUUGAAUAAUGAAUUUUAGAAAUCUUUCUUGUUAUGAUACAGGUGAGGAUACAAUUGGGGAUGGCUUGGCCAGAGGAAAUAUUUGAGACAGUAGAAUCCACAUGGUACUUGAAAUGGCAAUCAGAUGCAGAAGCAAACUUCAAAUCUAGACAAACAGACGAUGAUGGUCAAUGGUUUAUUUGGUUUAUAAUCAGAACUGCUAUAUAUGGGUUUGUUUUGUAUCAUGUAUUCAAAUUUAUGAGGAGAAAAGUUCCACGUCUUCUUGGUUAUGGUCCUAUGCGAAAAGAUCCAAAUUGGCGGAAAUUGCGGCGAGUGGUAUAAGUUUAAUCUUGCAUCUUGUCUAGAUUCAUUUUCUGCCUAAUUUUCUAAUGGUUACCAUCCAAGGUUUGGAGAAUGCUUACAAUCCUAUUCCAUAUCUGUGUGCUUGCAGAAUCCAAAUUCCUUUUGGAGGCUAUUUUUUCAGUUUAGCUCCCUUGACUAAUAAAAAAUUGUGUUUAUUUGAAUUUGCUUGGGUUCAGGUUUUAAACGGAGCCUUCUAAUUUGCAAUAAAAGGUCCUUCUAAUUUGUUUGGUGGUGAUAAUCGUGGGAUUCUUGAUAUGUUUAAAGUUUGGAAUGCUCAAUGAGUCUUGUGUUACUGUUAUCCUACUGGUUCAUUCAGCUUGAUUUCACUCUGAACCUCUCCAUCAUCAGGCCCCCUACCAUCCACUGUUGCUACUGCUUCAGCCUCCUUAACUUAACAUAAGGCCCUUCAACCAUCAUGGUUUCAUACCUAGUAGACCAGUGUUUUCCUCCCAUUUUGCAUUCCCUAAUUCUCUUCAAUAAUAUUUUUUCUUUUAUUUAUACAAAGGGUCAUGGUACAGUUUGUAGGUUUGUUGCGGACCGGAGACAGGCCAGUGCAGAUUUCAUUGAUGUUAUCACUAUGAACAGUAGUGGCAGUCUGGCAGAGCCAUGUGGGGGGCCAGUGGAGGUAUGUGUGUUAUCCGAGUGAACUCUCCUCCCUUUGAAUCCUUCCUUCGCCUUGACAUUUUCACCUAUAUUCUUAAUCUGAAUCUUCCUCUCUUUAAUUCCGUCACCCAUUUUUACCUCCUCAACCUUCAUCAAUCUCCUCUCCUGACUUUUUAUCUUAGCCUCUUAGGUCCACUUCUGACCUCUAUCAUCAUUGCUGUCUCAUACUAAACUUUUGGGCCAAUCACUAUUUAUCAUUACCAAGUAGCAUACAUGUCACUUUCCACUUCCACUGACCAGUAUAUUCAUUCAUGUGGAUUGGCUUAAUGCCAGAUUUAUUACUUCACAUAUUUUAUGAACUUCUAAUUUCCGCAAGUCAAAGCAAAGUUUUAGUGCUAUUUUAUGUAAAUUUGAAAUAUUUGGGGACAUAAUCACUUUCUAACCAUUUUUGUGUGGCUUCUGCACAUUUUCUAAGGGGUGGGUUCCUUGUCAAAUCAGCAAAGAAGAAAUUUAUAAAGCUCUUGUAAAUUGAUAUCUUUAUGCUUCCCCCCCCCCCCCCUUGCUUCUUUUUUUUUUUUCGUGACAUUAAGGGUGUCCCGUUGGUUUUUGAGUGGCUUGUGGAAUUCCGGAGUUGUCACCUAUGGGAGAAAUUGGAUCUUUAAGAAAAUUAAGGACACAACUGAUGACAUAAUGACAGUGAUAGUGUUUCCUAUUGUGGAGUUUUUAAUCCCUUACCCG